CAGAGGCAGAUCAAGGCUGAGCAGCAGGAAGCACGCGGUCGAGCCCUCCGUGCAUUCGCAGCCCCCACCUGUGGGAUCAUCGCCCCCAUGGCGCAGGAUUUCCCAUUCUCACUUCUUGUGAGGCAGUGAGAGAGAGGAAGAUGUCCCUGGACAUGGAGUCAGGAUUGGAAGGAAAUUCAAGGACAGGAACAGUUUUUCUCAGCUGGGAAUUGGAAUUCCAGACCCUGGGAUUGUGUGCAGGACCACACAGACUGCGAUCAAACAUGGACUGGGGCCAUGUGGAAUGGGACCAUACAGAUCAGGAUGAUACAGACUGGGAUAAACUGGGUUGAGAUUACAUGGACUGGGGUUGCACAGGCUGGCGUUGCACAGCUGGGG